GAUGAACGCUAGCUACAGGCUUAACACAUGCAAGUCGAGGGGAAACGAUAUUGGAAGCUUGCUUCCGAUAGGCGUCGACCGGCGCACGGGUGAGUAACGCGUAUCCAACCUGCCCACCACUUGGGGAUAACCUUGCGAAAGUAAGACUAAUACCCAAUGAUAUCUCAAGAAGACAUCUGAAUGAGAUUAAAGAUUUAUCGGUGAUGGAUGGGGAUGCGUCUGAUUAGCUUGUUGGCGGGGGAACGGCCCACCAAGGCGACGAUCAGUAGGGGUUCUGAGAGGAAGGUCCCCCACAUUGGAACUGAGACACGGUCCAAACUCCUACGGGAGGCAGCAGUGAGGAAUAUUGGUCAAUGGGCGAGAGCCUGAACCAGCCAAGUAGCGUGCAGGAUGACGGCCCUAUGGGUUGUAAACUGCUUUUAUAAGGGAACAAAGUGAGCCUCGUGAGGCUUUUUGCAUGUACCUUAUGAAUAAGGACCGGCUAAUUCCGUGCCAGCAGCCGCAGUAA
rnacentral:rRNA from 1 species